GAUGAGGAAAUGAAGACCGACGGAAGCUAUCUCUUGAGCUCGUCAUGCAGCUGGCGAAGGGUGGAGCAGGGCUUCAAAUGCAGACCUUUCCAACUCCAUUGUCCCUGCUCUCCUGCGUGCCCUUUCCUGCCUUUUCUCAAGGGAGACCAUGAGAUCAAGAAAAAAGAUUUUCUUCUCCACGGCAACUGAAGUGUUGACUUUGACAGUGAAAGCUACAGAGUGUAUGAUGUUUCCCUUUUUGCCUUGCUUGCCAGGAAGCUUGUGCUUUUUGUCAAACUGCUUACUUCCCCUUUCCAUGGUUUUGGUCUUCUACCUUUGACAGACUUUUAUUCAUAAGUCUUACUGUAAGCUGUUCUACUCAUAGAAUAAGCUGAAUAAAUAGAAAUUGAAUUGAAUGGAAAAGGA
rnacentral:lncRNA from 10 species